CCAUGGGUGUACAUGUGUUCCUAAUUUUGCUUUGAUGUCUCAGCAGGAGUGAGUUGCAGGCGCCUUAGGAGGUGUCUCUGCUCAUCAUUUAUUCUGUUCGUUGCCUGGGAUUCAUCUGCUCUUCUUUUCCCCUCUGUUCACCUAUGUGAGCCAGCGCUUCCUGGGUGUCUGUGACAUAAGAGCAUCUCAGAAACAGCCCGCCCUUCAGGCACUUAGACUUGCUUAGAGGAAACCAGAUGGAGACCGAUCAUAGGUCCCCUCCUCCUGGCCCUGCAGACUGAGAACCCCCAACCCUGAGCCUCACAGGGCACGCCCAGGCACACCCUCGGCAGACAGAGUGAGUAGCUGCUGCCUAGCACGGCGCCUGACCGCAUGAUUGGGCUCAGUGUUUGAAGACCCAAGGAUGAUGAGUGCUCUUGAGCUGGGGACAAGAAAGCCUGGAAGAGUCACGUCACCUCCCUGUGCCUCUGUCACCUCACUGCGCAGGCUGCGGAGGAAACCCCUGCAACCUGGCUUCUGUUUCAAGCCUGUUGGCUGAGGGGAAGGGUCUGGGGUGGUCAGCGCAGAGGGCCUCCUGCUGAGAUGUCCCACACAACCAGCGACAUCCCAUUCUCUCUGGGAUUCAGGCCCCCCAGCCCUACGGUCCUGGGAUCAUCCAGGAAAGCUUUUGUUUGCUCUACUACUACUAAUCCUGCCGGGGCAACCUAAAGCAAUGAGGCCACUCUCCCAAAUUCCUCCAAGAUGGCAAAUUUCAUGGUUUUUCUUUAGGAUCUCAGCUUAAAUGCCUUUUCAUCAGGAAGCCUUUAAAAAAAAAAAAAACAACAAAAUAAACACCAAUAAGUUAAUUUGGCUGUAUAGGGUCUUAGUUGCAACAUGCAGAAUCUCUGUUGCAGUGCUUGGACUCUCCAUGGGCUUAACUGUUUCAUGGAAUCUUACUUCCCUGACUAGGGAUGGAACCUGUGUCCCCUGCAUUGUGGAUUCUUAACCACUGAACCACCAGGGAAGUCCCCAAGAAGUCUUUUCUGAAGAGACUGAAAGAGAGAGUCGAACAAACAGACCAUUGGCAGGAAGAGAAAUCCAGACAGCGAGGCUAACAAGGACUGUCUGGCUGGGGCUGAGUGAGCCAGGAGAAGGAAGAGCUUAGUGAGCAACCACAGACUGGGCCACACUGGGCCUCUGGACCAUGGGGAGGACAUCAGGUUUUAUCCUAAGUGCUGUUAGGAUUUGUUGGUGGCUUUUGAGUGAGCAAGUGACAUGAUCUGGCUGCCAUGUGGAGAGAGGUGCCCCCUUCGGCACACAUUCCUCACUCCUCAGAGCUGUUUUCUCUGAAUCCUAUUUCAUUGUCUUUGUCUAGCCACUGUAUGUUUUCUGCCUUGGACUCUGGGAGAUUUCUUCUGCUCAUUACUUCCUGCCUAGAAGCAAAGCUUUUGGACAGAAUCCUCCCUCCCACUUGCUUAGAUCAGCAUCAUGUGUCCAUGUGUUUGUUCCUCGCAGUUCAAAUUUGUACUCUGCAGCAGUCGGACUAUGUCUUAUUCCUUUGUGAUACAUAUACAAAUACAGUGUGUGACACAUAGUUGAUUCUUAUUUAACUCAUUGUUCAGGAUGAACAAGUGAGUUUUAGGUAAAGCAAAAGAAAAAGUCAAGAAGGUCAUCCUACUCACAGGAUGGAUUCCAAGGUCUAACAAUACUUUAAGGUGAUCUAAUUUGGAUCAUCUGUGCCUAGCUUCCCCUCCACUGGGAAACUGUUCAAUUGUUCUUGCAAGUCUAUCUGUUGCCUCUAAGAAAUCCCAUGAGACAGGAAGGACAGACCUGUACCUACUUUGUAGAUGAAGACGGAGACCCAGGGAGGUUAAAGGUCAGGGCCACAGCCAGAUGGCUAGUGGAACCGGGCUUAGCUCAGUCCAGCCCAGUACAGAUUUACUGAUGCCUCCCAUGGUUCAGGGCCUGAGUUUUCACAUAGAGAAGUAAGAGGUCCUUGCCCUCAGGGGCUCACAGUCUUACAGCAGAGACUGAUACUUGAAUCCAGCAUUUGCUCUCAGUGGGGAAAUCCCUGACACACUUUUCUGAUCCCAUGAGCUGCCUCUG